AGAAAGAGAACAGUGUUCAUGUAGUCAUGUUUGAUGUAAGAGUAACAAUUGUCCAUACUUUGGAGGAAAGCUGGUCUCUGUUUUCUACAAAUCAAACAUCCACAUCACAAAAAAUGCACUCUCAAGCCCACUGUGAAUUGUCAGUGUUAUUUCAAAAUUCAAGGACACCAGGGCUGGGAAUAUUAAUAGCUUCAUUAAUAUUCUGGACUCUAAAAUGUUCUUAAACUACCUUGAUAAAAUUUUGUUUGGUUUCCCCUAGUUUUUGUUUACUUCUAGAGCAGGUUGAAAUGUUCCAAUUUUUCCCUGGGACCAAUUUAUGAACAAAUAGGAAAAUACUGAGCAAACAGGGAAAUAUUUGUGAAAAAAUAAAUUCCUUUUCAUUUAACCUCUGGAAAACACUUUCACUGGCAAAACAAUCACCUGGGCUACAUUAUAUGUUUUAGUGAGUGAAGCUCUCAGAAAGAAGUUCACAUUGCAUAUGGCGUGUCUUGUAAACAUCACAUUUAAUCUAAAAGUGAAUUAAGGCAGGCUUGGGGAAUGGUUAGGAAAAUGGAAUUCAUUAUUAAAGGGAUAAUUUUGAAUAAAUGAAGUAGAAGCUCAUCAGAUUAUGUGUAAUUCUAAGCCACUUCCUCAUUCCACACUCUGUUGGAUCUACCCUAUUACCUCUCUUUGCAUGAACAGACCCCCCAUUGCAAAAUAGGGCAGCUGGGCAGUAGGGCAUUGCAUAGGAUGCCCCACAGAGAACCAAUUGCUAAGCUUGCUGGAGAGAGUAUGUUUGCAUUAUAACUUCUCAUGAUUUUUGGUUGCACUCCUGAUUUGAUUUCAAAUACUUCUUGUGGUGGGAAAAUCAUCACCUCCAAAGAAUAACUACGCAUUUGCAAAUCUUCCAGGCACAAAGAAGUCUUUGGUUGGGUAAUAUGUGUUCCAACAAACUAUCAGAGCAUCUCCAAGUACUUGUGUGUCAGCUAAUCCCAUUAGAUUUGGCUGUGCAAUGGAGACAGACCUACCGACGAUGGACAGGGUGUACACUAUGUGGACCUUAAUCAGGCCUUGGUACAUGCUUUGGAGAACCUGAGGACAAGAGGAUUUCUGGUUUAUUACUAGCUGUAUCAAAUGAAAGGUGUAAAAUAAUUGUUAUCCAAAAACUUCGCAUGAUGGCCAAGUUUGGAACGUGUUGAGAACCAAACACUUUUGACUCCAUGCUCUGGUUUUGCCACUGGGAGUGUUAAUUUAAUUUUAGAUACCAUCCAGAGUUUAUAAACUCCUGGUUCUGUCAGUCUGAAUCCACACAUCAAGCAGAAAACAGUCUGGUGGCACUGGAUUUACCCUGAGUGAGAAGAAUCUCAUCCACUGACUCCCAAAAGACUAAGAGAAACUUUAAAGAGAAAUGCUUAAAGCAAGAUAUAAAAAUAGGGAUCUCUGUAAAAUCUUCUUUUAAAGACGGUCUUGUAUACAUUGGUUUCAUGUUAUAUAAUGGCAUGUCAGACAUGCUCUGCCUCCAUCCGAUGGCUGAGCCCUUUUCACUCAACACAGUACAGAGCACACACAAUCCUGAACUGGUAACAACUCCAUGCUUCGCAUGGACAACAUAUUUUGGAAGACAUUGAGAGACUGGAUUCAAAACAAAUAUAGAGAAAAUAAGAAAGACGUAAUGUGUAAAGGAGUAUUUCACGCACGUCCAAAUUAUGCCUGGACGAAGUAUUCUGUGAGAAAAAUAGCACCGUGCAGGGAGAAGGGAAAGCGCAGUUGAGUGGGGUGGACAAAGAGCCAGCUCAGAUGAGCCUGGCUGAACAGCGGUUACUGGGCUGUAAAAAAUGGACAUGGCAAAUGUACUGCAUUUACUUAAGGCCCCAUGAACCUCCAGGGAAAAGAGAGCAUUCACAGAGUGGCUCCACUGACAGCAAAAAAGUUUCAUUAUUAUUAGUCAUAUGCUGAGGAUGUCAAGGAAUUUUAAGGCCGCACUCUUUGCAUUUUUAGAGGUUAUUAAUGAAAUAGCAUAGCAAGGUGAAUUACAUUAAAAUAUUUUUCUAACCAUUCCAGAAAUCUGGGUCCAAGUUGGCAUAGGGCUGGCAAGUGGUGAACUUUUGACCGAAGCUCAGAUUGCCGGGAGACACAUCCUCCUUGUUAGUUUCGGGUGACAGUUCACUGUACUAGAGACAUCCACUUGUGUGUAAAGAGGCAAGUGGGGGAGGAAGAUUUAGCGCUGCAUUUUCACAGGGGCAAGAAAUUCCAUCCAGCUCAAAUGUGUUUUGGCCCACUGCCCGGCUCCUUGUCAAACACAUGACCAUCACUCGGCUUCCUAUUUCUGGCCCGAAUCUGGAUCCUGGGGAUAAGCGAGCCCCAUUAGUGGUUAAAAUUAGGCAGCCGAGCUGUGACAACACAUGCUGACUCUCCAACGGAGGGUAGACAUAUUUAAAAACCAAAAAAGAGCGAGACGCCCCAAGAUUUAAUGUCAGCUGCCGUGUGUAAUUCAUCAGUUUGGGCUCCUAUAAUGGAUAUAGCAGCUGAUCUACCUUACUGGAGAAGACUUAGAAGUCUUUUCUGGCUUCUUCUGACCAGACUUCCUAUAAUGAUUGUUAAAGACGAGAAUAUGCCAUUAUUUUUUUUCAUGGUAGAAGUGCAUCGCCUUCACUUCUUACCCUGCCCUGAUUUAGUCAUAUGAUGGACAAAUUCUUCUGACCUGAGAAUGAAGAACUUGGACACCUGGUUUCUACAAAGCUGUACUUUAACUGGGAAAGUUUAUUUUAAAUUGAAACAUCAGCAGACCAGCUGGUUAGAAAGUAGACAUUUUGGUUUGCUUGGUAAUCAGAAGUUUUCAUUUACCAAAAUAAAUGAGCCAAACUUAUUGUGCAUGUGUGGACUAUUUUCUUGGAUGCAGCACUAGGAUGCAGCGCUAUUACACUUGUAUCCUCUUGUGUCACACUUACCUCCAUCCACUUGGCUGGUGACUCUGGCCAUGGCAGCCCAUUUGGCAAGGUCCCACACAGCUCUCUAGGCUUUAUGAUAUUUCCACAGCCUGAAAUGCCCUUAUUUCAUGAAAUUAUCUGUCCUUGAAAUCCUUUCCUAAGCCUUUUCUGUAUGUUGAAGUGUAUCUCAGAAAUUGGCUAGGGAAUAUCAGCCUGGAUGAGUUGGCUAUUGUAGUGAUUGGUGUUUCAUUUAAUUACAGGACUUUAAGAAGUGAACACACUUUUUCACAUAGACUCUGCAGCCUUUCUCAUCACCAACCUCUGUGUUACGAACUCAUGAUUCUGAAUUAAGAAGUCUGAUGGUGAUGUGAAGAUCAAACUGAUCUGCUCUGUUACGCAAUGAGCCCUUGCAUUGCACAGCCACCUGCUCAAGUCAGUCUUCUCAACCUUAUGAGAGUUUAAAGACUUUUGAAAAUGAAGGUGAAUUUAUAUAUCCUUCAGUCUCUUCCAUGAAAGAUUUUAGAUUUUGUAAUUGUCUCAGCUGCGCUGUGGUCUCUGCCAGUUGUGCUGGUGAGGUGGAGAACCAGAACUGCUCCAAACACUCCUGGCUAGAAGUAGUUUGCUGGACCUAGUCUGGGCUGUAUGGCAUACCCCUCUGGGAUAAACACCCUCUAACAAAGAAAAUACAGUCAGAGAAAGCUUUCUGGGGUACUUGUGAGAUGGGAAUGGGGAAUGCUCCCUCUGAUUCUGAUGGUGGCAUAAAGAAACAACUAACUAGCCCACAAGAUGCCUAAACAUGUGUGUUAAAAACAAGGCUUGGGUUUUACACUGAGAAAAAUGGGGUAGGUAACACAGGUUGGAAUAGCACAUUUGUUGUAGAAAACCACUAAGGAGACAGCCCGAGGUACAUUAUUCUAACAGAAAUCUCAAAGAGGUCGUCAGUUAUAGCACAAAGCAAGACACUUGUAUUUAAUAAGAAAUACACUUACUAAGCAAAAGAGCAGUAAGAAAUGUGCCUGAUAUGCUUUUGCAAAUGUCUGCCAUUAUUAACAGUCUGGUAUUUUAAAUGCUUCCAGUCUAAUGAAAGCUUUGAAGCCAAAGGAAAUACAACUGAUACUUGUGGGCUGAUUACUCUUUGUGUAAUGCAAUUGUGUAAGCAAUGCCACAGAGGCAGAGAAAUUCCAGGUGCUGGCUCAGGUGUGACAAAGCGUGCUAGCUACACUUUGGAUAGGAAGAGGCCAAGGCAGAUCAAGUCAGACACCUUGGCACAAUGUUCCUACCUUCCCUUUGGCUCAGGGUGCAGCGUGAAACAGGUGCCCUGGAGCUGGCCCUGAGCUGGCUCCAGGUCUGCAUGUAGCACAGACUACUAACCAAGCCCACGCAGACCUAGAUGGGGGGACCACAGACUGAAACUCAACCCUCAACCCCAAGACAGUAAUUUAGGCUUUUUGAUUAUAUGGGAUGUCACAGCCUGCUGCACAAUGGAGAAUUGGUUGUGCCUGUUGGCGUCUGAGUUUUGCAGUCAUGGGGCUUGCAUGUAAGUGUGCAUAUGUGGAUGUUUUAACAUGCUGCCAUUGCAGUUGGGUUAAUAAAUAUGUGGCAGGCAAAAAAUGGCACAUGGUGUUGGUUACUGUUUGGACAGAAACUAGUUAAAGAAUCACUAGUGGUUCAGGUCUGGUGCAACAAACUCCCCCCUUUCCUUUCUCUCUUGAGUGCUCUUUGCCCUCUACUAGCAGGGUCUCAACUGGUUUUUCUGUUGUGCUCAGCAGUCCACUGUGCUUGCCCCACAAUAUGCCAGUGAAUUCCUCUUGCUCGCAGAGUGCCAGCAGCUGCCACUCAAGAGAGAAGAUCAAGAAAAUUCCAGGCAAGACAGAGAUGACCUGUCCAACUGGCAAGGGGACUGUCACCAAGGGGAGCAGGGUCUCAGCUCCCCCGCUUACUAUUGCCAGUUGACCUGAGCACCGUUGGCCCAGCUGGUAUUUCCUGUGCCACCUCUGGGUUGCCUACUUCUUCCUUUUCACUGUGGACUUUCUAUAACGUGUGUUUAAUGGAGAUGGGCUUUGCUGUCAGUUAAUUAAACAGCAUUCUUAUUGUGGCUUUCUGACUAAGUUUAAAAAUAUAUAUUAGUGUAGAUGGCUGAAUUGCCAUUAAGGAGAUCUUCUGCAGACAUGAAGAGCCUGUGGUCUGUGCCUAGGCACACACAGCUAUGCAUCUCAGUCUCCACAGUAGUAACAAAUGUCAUCUAUAUACAGAAGCUACUCACAUAUCUCUUUUGGCUGACAUUAUUGAUGCUUGUUUUUCUGAAUAUGUGUAUCAACUAAUUGCUACUGCCAAAGUUUUAAGAGUCAGAUCAAAUAAUAAAAGCUGUUGGUGGUUAAGCAACACUCUGAACUCCCUGAGCCCUUGGAAAUGUGGAAGAAUUAUUUUCAUUGGUUUGACAUCUUCCCUUUCACUGUACAUUAGAAUUAUUGUGUAGGCAAUGUUCCAAAAGUGUGCUUAUUCGCUACUUUCACUUCUGUACACGUGCCAUUGACAGCACCCUUCUUUGGAAACAAAGCUUCCCUACACCCUGUGAGAAAGGGAGUGGCAGAAGGGAAAAAUGAAGCAUGAGGAACCUUGCAGACUGCUGUGAGUUAUUAUCACAGUUCCCUUCUUGUCUAAAUUGUGUGCAGGCUGGAGCUCCCAGAUCCAUCCUUGACUUUGUCUACUUGGUCAAAAACUGUCCCCAUGAGGUGGCCCAUUCAGGUUAACUAGAGGAACUUUCUGUGGUCAGAGCUGUUGGUGAACUUUCCUUUGCUUUGUUUUUCCUGUAGCUUUCCAGUGUCACUUUUCUGGUUCUUGAACUCUUCCAAAACCAAUUUCAGAGAUAGGUAGCUACACAGUGUUUCCAAACUGAUGAAGAAAAUGUGUUCAGCAGGCUUCCUCUUCAAAAUAUUUACUUUGGAAAACAAGAAACAGCCUGUGGCAUAAGAGGUGUGGGAUAUCCACAAACUUAGCAGGGUAAUGCAGACUUCUUGAAGGAAUAUUAGAGCAGUGCAUCUUUAAUACUAGAGAGCAGGUAAGGUUAAUGUUGGAGGUAAUCAGGUUGAGCUUUCUUUUAGGGGCCACUAUUUUUCUUCAUCUCUUUUCCUUACAUGUGCCUGUAAACCCAUAUACACCAUACUUUACAUAAGAUUUGCUUUUUGAUUCAAUUUCCUUUAUUACAAAAGCAAUACAGGUAAAAUUCCUGACUGCAUUAGUUUCCUAUUGUACAAUUUCAAUAACAGUCUACAUGUUUUUCCUUGUUUGUCACUUGUAAGAACUAAAUGUGCCUCGCAAAGCCAUUGUAACCAUCACAUCAUGCAAAACCACAUCUCUUGUCCUCAUUGUCCAGGUGAUAUGGUCAUCUUGUUCAAUCUCAUUUAAAUGCUUUUCUAGAGCAACUGUAAGUGCCUACCCAUUUUGCUGACACAGGCAUAAUUAAUUAGCACUCACCUGACCCAGUUUAGGACACAUUAUCAUUCACUUGACCUUUAGCAACUUGUUAUCCAACACCUUGGUUGUGUCCUCCUAGGCAUCCUGUCCAUUCUAAGCAUCCUGUAUAACUAAGACCAUGAGCAUGUCACGUUUAUAUGGUCCAGACUUCUAACAUUUUCUUCACCAGUCCUAUGCAUCAGCCCCAUUCUUGUCCCUUCGUCUCUACUACUUGCUUACCCUGAAGAUGACUUCUGAGUCACUGCACAUGACCUUAUUUCCAGGCCUUGGCUGCAACACAGUCUGUCUGACGAGAAUUUUGGGAGGCAGUAUUUUGCGUAACCCUUGUCUUUCUGUUUUCCCCAGACUACAAAGAGUACAAGGCAGUUUUACAUCAGGCAGGCAGUGAAAUGGGUCCACUGUCACUGUGGUAUGACUGCCCAUGUUUCUAAAUCACUUCUAACUCACAGGACUUCUGAAUUCAGGGGAGGCAGAUGGUUGGCUUCUGCUUAUAAAUACAGAUUUUUUUGUUAGAGGAAAAAAGGGGAGAACGGGAUCUCUCCUAAUAAGCUACAACUAGCAGUAGCUCAUCAGUACUGCUCGUAAAUUUUGGAGUAGUAAAGAUGGAGAGUCUUUACCCACUUGUUAAACUCCAUCUCCUUUUCUCUUGCCACAACACUAGCAGCACUUGGGUUGCUGUCCCAGAAGGCUGGGUGGAGCAGGAAAAUAGGAGAAAAAGGGAGACAUGACUGAUGAGGAGAGACAAUGAGUUUUUCCACAGCUAUUUCAGGAGCUUUUUUUGGUUCAUUGUGUCUACACCUCCAGGAGGAACUCUCUGGCCUGCAGAGGGAGCCCAUCUUGUCUUUCUAUGCAAACGUGCAAAGUUGGCUCCAUCUCCCCAUUCCCAGUGAGUUUACCCAUUUCUAAAACAGUCUUGCUUAUCCUCUGGACAUUGCCAGUGAGGAGUUACCACAGACAUUCCAUCUUGAGAUAUAACCUCAUCAUCAAAUUUGAGGUUCUUUCUGUGAAAAUAUCCUUUCCUUGCCUAUCAGUUAAGUGAAAUAAUUAAAUUCACAAGUACUGUGGAUUCAUCUUUUACAGUGCAUUUUCAAUGGGCCUCAUGUAGGCUCUUCAAAGGACCAAGGCUCACUGCCAAGGAAAGGAAUUGCAGUCCAAGUUUGCGCACAUAACUCCAGGCUUACUCUAACAACACCUUUGUUUUUCAAACAUAUGCUCUAAGCUGGCAGAUGUUAUUUAGCUACCCUCCAUUAAGCACCUGACUCAGGCUUGCAGCCUGGAAAAAGUAACCUCAUGUUAGGCUUUGUGGAUUGCCUAAGAACCUGAUAUACCUAAACUCCCUCUGCAACCAUCCUAGUGAGAUCUCGUGGCAGUGAUAUAUACUUAGAACCGUUUAAGUAGGGAACACAGAACAAGAGCUGAACAUUGCCAAGGUGGCCGUGAUCUUGGGUGUGACAGUGAAGCUAAGGAAUGGCACAGGACCUGUCCUCAUGUGGAGAUUGUGGGGGAUUCUUCCUUCCCAUUCAUCAUGACUUUACUUUCCUGUGGGGAUUAUAGCAUUUGCUGAGAACGAAAUGUAAUAGUAGGAAAUUAUCUUGUGCAUUUUGAUAUGUCUAAGUGAUAUCGAGCAGGUGGAUACAUGAACAAAAGCUUCCAUCUACAAAAACAGAAGUCCUGUACUUGUCUUCUAUGGAUAAGCCUUUAUUAUUUAUGUUCUGCAAGGACAACAAGUCGAAAUGUCACAUCUAGGCAAGGACUGAGAAAGCCAUGUCAUCCAACUGGGCAAAGGAUAGAUUAUAUGACCAGUUAAAGAGGUGGAGUGGGGGUAAUGUUGUAGGGAAAGUUUCAAGACAGAGGAGAAGAGAGAGGAAUAGAGAUAAUGAGGCAAAAAUAUCAGGAAAGGAAGGUGGAUAGUUCUGACUCAUCUUGGAAAAUUAAAAGAAAAUGACCCUGAGGGAAUUUAGGGAGUGUUGAAGCUGCCUGCAGAAAUAAUAUGAGACAUGAAAUUACAUCUAUGAAUUAAUUCAGCAUUCCUACACCAGAUACUGCAGCAUAGUACCUCACAUACACAGCAUGACCAGUACUAAGUGUGAAUAUUAGCCUACAUUUGUGUUUUUGCCACCUUCUCAGCUCUUUCUUUGCUUUCAGCCCCUGAAGAAGUUUAUGAUGGGGUGAUGAAUACACAAGCAGAUCAGACUUCAGCCUGGAAGUGAAUAGCUCUGGGUAUUUGUUUUGGUUGCAACAGAUUCAAUAGUGGUGUCUACUGUAGGCUUUGCAACUAACUGAGCAGUGUGCUGAUUGUUCAUGGCAUGGAGCACUGAUAUAUUACUGAAGGCAAGAUAAGAUCAGGCCACCAUGUUGUUAAGCAGACAAUGUCUUACAUCUUUCCCUGUUUAGUCUAGUAAGUGACAUUGUCACUGCACACCAUCAUGCAUUGUAAAUCCCAAAGAUAAAAUCCACUCCCAUUCUAAUCUGUCUGAAUAUGAAGCAGAAGUGAGUUGGAAAUGGUGCAACCAAGCUAGAACUUGUUACUGCUCAGAGAAGUAGGAGGAAUACAGACUGAUUCAAAUGAAUCCAGGAAAUUUAUCAGACUGCUUUAUGACACGAAGAGUGACUUACCCUAGACAUUCCUGAAAUCCUACUGCUACAUACUGCUGUUUACACAAACCCAGAGAUUAUUCCUGUUGCAGGUUGUCACCAAGUGAUCUUCUCCUGGGAGGUUCAGACUAAAUAUUAGGAAAAAAUACUUUACCAUAAUGGUGGUAAAAUACUGGAACAGGCUCCCUAGAGAAGUGGUAGAUGCCCCAUGCCUGUCAGUGUUCAAGAGAUGUUUCACUAAUGCAGUAAAAUGCUUAAAUUAUAGUUAGCCCUUAAGUGGUCAGGCAGUUGGACUAGAUAAUUUUUGUAUGUCCCUUCCAACUGAACUCGUCCUGUCCCAUCCUCUCCUGUCCUCUCCUCUCCACUCCUUUCCUCUCAUUUCGUCUUUUGAUAUGUGGACUAUGCCAGCACAAAGAUAGGUGCUGGCAAUCUCAAUGCUGCAACACAGAAAUGCUCUGGUGUUUCAGGUCUAUUUUCCAGACAGAUCAUGUAUAUUCUUUUAAUACUUCAUAGCCAGUUAUAGUUGGAACUCAUCACUACAGAAUGAACAUUUUUUUCCCCCAAAUUAGAGCUUCAUCUGAUCUUAAAACUUCAAUACUGUAGCUUUGCAUUGAAGGAAGCUUGUUUAAUCAGCUUAAUUAGGAGGAAAAAAAAAAGAAAAAGAAAAAA